AUACUAGUUAUUGCUAUCUGAUCCUCUUUUAGUUUUGUGGUCCUAAUUAUAUAUUUUUUUAAAAAUUUUAAGAAUUUUUCCCUACCUUUUUUAAUUUUUUCUGGUUUAUUUUUCCUUUUCAUUAUAUAUACAUAUACAUUUUUUUACACCUUAUAGGGUUUCAAAAUUGGUCUCGUAUCCAAAAGAGUCUGGAAAUUUGAAGAGAGCAUUGAUGACCAUCAGCAGCAAAGCACUUGUCACUUUAUUGAGUAGAGCCACCAGUAAUCGGAAGGUUUGUCCAUCAUGGACUUUCGGGCUAAGGAAGCUUCUUGGUUGGAGCAGGCUAAUCUUUUAUUCUCUGGGACAGCGAUAGCCAGUAAUGAUCCGGAUCAGUGCAAUAUUAGAGAACUGAAACAAUCUCUAAGGAAUCUAUCACACCGACAGAUGAAGACCUGGUGGAACCGGGCCUCUUUGGAGAACUAUCUACAUAAACAUCUAAUACCUCGAGGACUACGAGUACAGAUUUUUCCCUCUUUUGGCCUUGACCAAGAAGUCUAUGUUAAAAAGUGGGAAGAGGCAUGCAAUACUUGUUCCAGGACACUCAUGAUGAUCAUCAUGGAACAUAACACACAGGUACUCAUGGAGCUAGGUAUACAAAUUGAGAAGACAGAGACAGAUAUUGCUGCCAUCCUGCCAAAUAAUGACUACCCAUCAUUCAAGCAAGACUUGGAGGAAUCCCAAACCAUCUGGGAAAAACAAAUUAAGGCUACAAAAUCAAAAAAAUUCUUAAGAGACUCUAAUGACUUCUCUAAUAACAAGGUGUAUAAGUGGAAACGGGGUCCAGUGGAGAGACGACAAAGAUCACCUUCAGUCUCAUCAUCCGUUUCCACAGGAGUGGAAUCUGUGGCGUCAUCCAGGUCCUCUGCGAGAAAUGCACAAUAUGAUGGGAGACGACGCAACUACCGCAACAAAGCAAACACAAGAAAUGAAAGGCAGGAGAGAGUCAACACCAGGAGCAACGAUACUAACCGUAAGCGGUAAAAGAUCUGCAAUUAUUCGCACGGAAAUUAAUCUUUAAGAAACUGUUUCAUCCCUCCCCUAUACAAGCACCUUUAUCUUCAGCUCAGGCACCAGCAUCUCCCAAUACGAUCACAGAAACUGAGGCACUACAAGCUCUUCAAGAUCUCCUAGAAGAACAGGAUACAUCAAAUACGGGUAUGUGGACCACUUUCUAAAACCCCUUGUUGAGUCUCUACCAUCUCAUGUCAAGGAUACCACAGAUAUCCUAAAAAGAAUGGACGAUGUUCAAUUGGACAACGAAACCCUUCUGGUCACCUGUGAUGUGGAAGCUCUGUAUACAUCAAUCAGACACACGGAUGGAUUGGCGGCAACCCAAUUUUACCUUAUGAUGUCGGAUUUAGAUCCAGAACUGAGUGAGUUCAUUUUACAACUUCUUCAGUUCGCAUUAAUGCAUAAUUUCUUUUUGUUCAGGGAUGUGGUCUUCCUACAGCUCCAGGGAACGGCGAUGGGGGCGGCCUGUGCGCCCUCAUACGCCAACCUUUUCCUGGGGCUGUGGGAGAGGACCAUAUUCAUGACUGAACCCGCCCCCCAUAUUGAAAAAGUUCUACAGUGGGGCCGCUAUAUAGAUGACAUUCUUUUUGUCUGGCAGGGCACGGCAGAAGAGUUGUCCACAUUUAUGACAUAUCUGAACACUAAUGAACUAAACAUAAAAUUGACCUAUAAAUGGGGGAGGUCGAAAAUGGAGUUCCUGGAUGUAUUGUUUGAUGUUGACCAAGAUGGGUAUAUCUCAACAGAUGUGUAUCGCAAAAAAACCUCUACCAAUACUCUUCUUCACGCUUCCUCUUCUCACCCCCAUGCACUUGUCUCCAAUAUCCCGACAGGUCAGUUCCUGCGAAUCCGACGGAUUUGUUCCACGGAUGAACACUUUGAAAAACAGGCUAAUGAUCUAUCUCUACGCUUUCAGGAACGGGGAUAUCAUGAAAGGGAUAUCACCAGAGGCUAUGCACGAGCUAAGGAUACACUACGAGGCAAUCUGCUUACCCAGUCCAAAAAGAAAAAGGGAAAUGACCAGGGAAUUCCGUCGGAGAAUACGGGAACAUGUCCUAGGAAUUGAAGCAGCCAAGGAGGAAAUAGAUCUACAGAAGCUAAAAACCAUACCCCGCCACUUUCGUCAGUACCAUGAUUGCAACAGUACCCUCUUCAAGGGUUUCAAAAUUGGUCUCGUAUCCAAAAGAGUCUGGAAAUUUGAAGAGAGCAUUGAUGACCAUCAGCAGCAAAGCACUUGUCACUUUAUUGAGUAGAGCCACCAGUAAUCGGGUAUUAUAGGAAUUAUUGCUAUACAUAGUAUUGUUGAAUAAAAUUAUUGAUAUAUAUUUCUUUGGCUUUGGAGGUGUUGAUUAACAGUUGUUUUGUCUGAUACACUUCGACAUAUAUACAUACAGCCACUAAUUAUCUAAUUUUUAUACAUAAUAAUAAUAUUGUUAUUCACCUCUAGUACACGAUAGGCUAUGGGGUACAUCACUUUUCCCAUUCAACAUCACUAACACCUAAGUCCGCACAUAUACUAUUUGUAUCUACUUUAUAAACUACCUUUAUAUACGUCAAGCAUUCACUAUACACCUUAAUAAAUCACAUAUCUUCACUUAUACACACUUAUCACUUUAAUCCCCCUUUUUUUCGCUUUUUUUUAGCGAAGAAUUCAGUCAGCAACACUAUAACAUUAGGUUCAUUAUUUUCUAUGUGUCACCUUUUUUGCACUGCUUUUUUCACUUUUUUCUCACAUCUUCCUCUGCAUGUCUCACUUUUACUCACUUGCACUUUUGUGGCACCUUUCACUAUUUUAUUAUAAUUAAUGAAAAACAUGAAAAGUAUAUAUAUUAUUUUUAAAAAAUAUUUUUUCCCCUGCAAUGGGGAUUGAACCCCCUACGGGUUGGUGUGGGUACAUGCCUGACCGCUGCACUGCCUCCACUCUAUGAGCGGCCUUGAUAUAUCUUGUAAUCUGACACAUGCAUACAUACACGGUGCGCUCCCUUCCGAGCUUUGUCCUCUGUAUUUUCUUAUUCUCUUUUUCUCUAUUUUUUUGUUUUUAAUGGCGCCUCUCUUCUCCAUCUUCCACUACCUGAUUAUUUCAGGCACGAUAUGCUUUUAUAUCCGCGCGUGUCUUUUUCGGAUCCUAAUACCUUUAUUCUUGGUGCGCACCGCGCGUGCGCGGGUUAUUCCCUCUGUCUCGCGGGAUGACGAUGGUGGACGCACCUUGUCAUCGCGCACGCGCGAUGCGCACCAAGAUGGCGCCAGAUACCGGGACCAUGUCACCGAUCCAGGUGAACUAUAUUGUAAUUAUUUACCUACAGAUCCCUAUUGGUUGGUAUGUUGUAUAUAUACCCCCACAAACUAGACUAGGUCAUACUCCCUGAGGAAGCCAAACGGCGAAACGACGUUGGGGUACUGGUGUUGUGUAGGUAGGUACACUGUCUAUGUCCUCCAGCCUGUGCUCUGUGAGUGGGGAAGCUCUCUGGGUAUGCUUAUCCACUGUGCUUUAAUUGCACAUCUUUACUUUCCUUUCCCCUUUCUCCUGACCACUCGCUGGAGGCUAUAUAUGCAGUGACCUUCUUUUCUAGGUUAGGUUUGCUUUGUGGUGCAAUUCUUCAUAGGACUGUGAUGUGUAACCUAUAAUUAUUGUUAUACUGGUGGCUCUACUGUAUAGUUAAGAAUAACUAUGUCAUAUUUUGCACCUUUGUAGCCAUACUAACCAAUAAUAUAUUACCUGCCUUAUCAACUCCUUUUUUGUCUGGCUAUACUGUCCCUUUUAAUUGUUUUUACUAAAUGAUGUUUUCAAUAAAGUUUUCUAUUUGUGUAUAAAAUUGGUGUUCCAGUGUGUAUAUAGGAUUUAUUCUUCCUGGGUUAGACAGGUGACCUGUACUGGGGAGCUUACC